GACGAACGCUGGCGGCGUGCUUAACACAUGCAAGUCGAACGAAGUGGCGAACGGGUGAGUAACGCGUAAUCAACCUGCCCUUCAGAGGGGGAAAAAAGUUGGAAACGACUGCUAAUACCGAAUAGUGAAGGAGGGGAGUGCGACUGAUUAGCUAGUUGGAGGGGUAACGGCCCACCAAGGCGAUGAUUAGUAGCCGGUCUGAGAGGGUGGACAGCAACAUUGGGAGUGAGACACUGCCCAGACUCCUCGGGGAGGCAGCAGUGGGGAAUCUUCCGUAAUGGACGCAAGUCUGACGGAGCAACGCCGCGGGAGUGAUGACGGCCUUCGGGUUGUAAAGCUCUGUUAAUCGGGACGCGGUACCGGAAUAGACAGCCACGGCUAACUACGUGCCAGCAGCCGCGGUAAUAC
rnacentral:rRNA from 1 species